ensembl:lncRNA
CGUGGAUUUUCCAGGUUCCAAGCUAUUGUAACUGGGUUGUUCUAGCCCAAGAGAAGGGAACCAGCAUGAGCUUUUUAUGGAUUUGAAGGUUCUCUUGAGCAGCACAGACUUGGCCUGGACGGUGCAUUCUUGUGACUACUGACUAUUGACUCUUGUGAGCUGAGUGAGUAGGGGGGUUAUAAGGUAAAGAUCACAUGUUUGGUACCUCUUGUUGACAUCUCUGUGGUGACUGUUAGCAAGCUUGAUCGAUAAGAAUAGGGCACAGUUGUGUCACCAUGGUGUUUCUGUUUGAUCUGUUUGAUCCGGGUUACAGAAGCAGAACAAUGCAGGUUAGCAAAAGUUCCUUAAAGUACCAUACAUGCCUGAAGGUCAAACUGACCUUAGUUUUAGCCCGAAGUCAGGUCAGGGUUUAGCAAAUAUACUUUUCUCACCUCAAAACCAUGAGUCGCACCCUCUUCUGCCUUCCGGAAAACCUAUUUUUCCCAGGCUUGGGUAUUUUAUUUUAGCAACUGAAAAGACUAAGACAUCACCAAGCUCCAGAAUUGUUGUGCUUCAGUUUUGACGGCCAGCACCUGUACAUCAUUUGCCCUUGGGACAAACUCAUAGGAGACGUAGUUUUCACUCAGAAUUUCUCAGCAGACAUGAGCUAUAGUCUGGCUUGGGAAUCUUCCCUUUCCAGCUAUGCUGUUGCAGCUCUGUCAUUAGUUCCCUGGGAGAGCUACCUACAAACAUCACUUGUUCACACAGUCUGGUCUCAGGACCUGCUUCUGAGGAGACUGGCCCGAGAAAACCGCUGCCAUAGCCUUGGACCUGUAAGGAGGAAGAGAAAAAUGGCUCUGGAUGUUACCAGAAGGGGCUGAGAGGGCAAGCCUUCUAAAGUGCCCCUUAAUAAGGCAUAGAUUCUUAAACUGUAAGAAGUGUGACUAAGUUUGGGAUUUUCAAUAAUUUAACAGCAGGAAAAUAUGUCUGAAUGCACAACAAGCAAAAAUGAAUUUAAAUUGAAUUACGUAACAAAGUUGAAGCGUUUCUGGCAAUGGUCACUCAUGUUGCUUCCCAUGAAUUCCCUGCAGCCUUGGUUCUGAACACACACGUUUGAUUUGCUCUCUGCAUGCCCUCACACCACUCAAAACCAAUAGACUCUUCCUGGAACACCUCAGGUCAGAGAUGAGACACUGUGUACUAUAAACCACAAUGCUUUUAGCAUACCUACAAUGUUUUCUACUCUUAUGAAAACAUCAUGCUUUAAUUACAGAAAACAAACACUAAGUGUUUUCCUUCUGCCAUUCCUCAGCAGGCAGUAUAUCUGUGCAAUGUAUUGUUUUAGAAUUCUUUCCUUCCUAUUGAGACAGGGUAUCAUGAAUCCUAGGAUGGCCUCAAACUUGUUAUAUUGCCAAUGAUGAACUUGAAUUUCUAAUUCUCCUGCAUCCAUACCCCAAGUGCUGGAAUUUCAGGUGCAUAUCACCAUGCUUGCUUUAUAUAUUACUGGGGACUCAAUCCAGGGCUUCAUGGAUGCUGGGCAAGCAUUCUACCAACUGAGAUAUGUUCUCAGUCUCAUAAUACUUGAUUUUUAAAAUGGCUAUUUGAAUUGUAUAGUUUUAUAACAAUAAAAAGAGAAACUAGAAAGAUGGAUCAGUAGAUAAAAGCACUUACUGCUCUUGCAGAGGACCUGGGUUAAGUUCCUUGUGCCUCCAUGCUAGCUUAGAACUGCCUGUAACUCCAGGAGAUCCAAGGACAUCUCCUGACCUUCACAGGCUCCUGCACACAUGUAGUUCACGUAUAUACUCAGGUACACACACAUUAAAUAAAUAAAUAAAUAAAUAAAAUGAAAUUUUGCUUGGUGUUAGCAAAGAAUUUCGAUUGAUUUCUGAAAUGGUCCUAAACACACUCCUGUAAUUUUGUACUAUGUGUUUAUGCAAAGUAACAGUCUCAGCAUUAAUGAGUAUAAAAAUCAAAAUAUUGGCCAACUCUGAAAAAUAUUGAAUAUGUUCUCCAGCCUGCAAUAUCAAAUAUUCACCCAAGAUUUAGUCUCAUUAGAAAAUGUACUUUCAUCUUUAACAAGUGGUAUAACUGUAUGCAUACCUAAUAUUUUUUAAAAAUAAAAUUCUUAAUGAUUUACUACCAGUGAAUGUUUGAAUUUGUAGACCUAUUCUCUGUACCUAUGUACCCAGGAUGGUUAUCAAAAUGUAUUGGGCAAAAAGGGGUUGUGAAAAAAAGAGUUUAAGACACCCUAGUCUAGAGAAUGUAUGUGUACUUACUAUGAGUUCUUUUGUUUUCUGGUCAAGAUGUACAAAUGGGGCGCUGAGCAGAAAUGCUUUGGACAGCCAUGGGGCCUCAAGCUUUGGUGCAGGAGGAGUGAGGAGCGCAUGCUGUUGUUUCAGCCCUUCCUCUGAGUAGAUACUGAAUACAGUUCAGUUUAAUGAGAAUGGCAGCUUCUCAGGGUCAUAU